rnacentral:tRNA from 1 species
GGGAUUUGUAGCUCAGUGGUAGAGUGCUUGCCUAACUUGUAAGGCACUGGGUUCAACUCUCAGUAUCACA